GCGGCAUGUAGACAAAUGGCACCAAAAAGUACCGACGGCCAUCUCGUCGAGAGGGAAUAGCAGACUGACGGAAGAAAAGGAAACCAGCAACGCCGAUACCGGAAAACAGGAGACAAGACGUUUGAUCAGGUGUCACGGAUGCCAUAACUGCAUUCUGGGCUCUGUGAUGCUGAGGCAGAGGCCAGGCCGAGUGGGUGCGGUGGUCAGGCGGAGAGCUGGGUAGAGAUGGUCACCUGGGAGCAGCAGGAAGAGCCCAUCUACACAACUCCGUCAGCUGCAGGGCGAGCGAGCGAGAGAGAGAGAGAGAGAGAGAGUGUCUUGCACACACACACACAAAUCGAUACAGACAGACCAAAGGGCAGGUUGGGGCUCUAAUGGCUGUGACGAUGAUGGCGGUGAUACUGAAGAUGAUGCAGAUGUUGUUAAGCAGAUGGCCACGCUGACCUGUCAGAACAUGGAUGGAUAUUUCUCGGAUAUCUGUUGGAUUUCUUUGAACUGGAAAUUCUUAAACUGUGGACACUGACACGACAUCUUGCUGUGAAGCUGAUAUUUGUGGUUUUAAACUCAGAUGCUUGAACACUAAUGGGCAGAUUGUCAUGAAAUCUGAUUCAGACAUUCAUGCCCGCCCCCGCAGAAUGAUUUGAAAUCACUUUGAUUCUGUGAGGUUAAAGUUUCAAAUUGGUCUAAUUCUUUAGCUCCUGAUCAAAUACCUCCAGAACCGACAUUCCCAUCAGCCUCGCUUGUACCAAACGUUAGCAUGCUAUAGAAGCUACACUGAGAUGGUGACUGUGGUAAACAUUAUGCUUGACAGUCAUCAGCAUGUUAGUGUUGUCACUGUGAGCUGUGAGAUGUCAGCCUUCAGCCCAAAGCACAAACCACUAACAUGGCUGUAGUCUGCUGUCUUGUGGCCUUUUGACGAGCCAUGUUGACAUGUAACAUGUAUGCUCUUGCACAUCGAGGCGACUGACACACAUGCAUCCUGACUUCGUGGCCUUUGUCACGUUAUCUCACCCAUCAACUUCCACUUCUGCUGAGUUUACAGAGAGGACAAGAUAAGAACGAGAGGAGGUUUCUACAUGGGUGAUUUAAUACAAGUGCAUUUAAAUAUUUCCCGCUUUAUUAUGACAUUUGUGGUUGCCUGUGCUCUCCUCUGCAAAUUUGCUUAAACAGGCAAAUCAUCGUUGGAGCCUGACACUGCAGGAACAUCGAAACCAAAGUUUCGGGUUUUAUGGCAUCAUUCAGCAGCCCUGAGGGAAUUUCAGGGUUAUAACAGAUUAGUCACUGGAGUAAAGGCCAUUAAAUGCAAUAGAGCAUAAAGAGCUGUUAAUUAGAUUGUAGUGACAUCACCAGAAUUUUGUGGGUGUGAACUAACAAACUGAUAGCCAUACAGUAAGUCAACUGAUGAUUACAUUGGGAUGAGGAUAGAUGAGUAUUUGCUAGUUUAUCCAUAAAAUCUAUCAUUUUCUGUAGACAUGGUGACAGCCCACUAACAUUAGUUCCUUAUUGGGAAUCAUGGGAUGUUGGACAGCUAUAGUCAGUUUCUGGUAAUGUUAGUAACAAACAACCUGAGGAUUAUUCCACUGUUGUAGCUGUGAAUAAAAUCUAGAUGUAAAUUGUCGACAUGCUUGCGUCGCUUCAGGAGAGGCUUCAUUACAGCACAAUGACACAGUUGUGAAAGUCACUGAUGCGUUAAAAAUGUGUGCGUGAGACUACUGAACACACAAUUUCAUUCAAUUCAUUUUUAAAAGAAACGUAAAAGUUAAACGGACUCAUAAUAAAACAUGAUCUAAGCUACAAAUAUUAAUGUAAAAAGUAUUAAAAGAGAACCUGUGGUUUCACCUCCUCAAAGUUCCCCAGGCUCAGAGAGUGACAUAAAAAUACUUCAGGUAAUAAUGAUAAAUAAAAACAACACCAGGAAAUUAUCAGUACUACAACCAGCUGUGGUGUAGACCACAGUAUACAGACAGGACUUAGCAGCAGCUCAUUGUGCCCUUAACCUUAAAUGUCUGAACAGCCUCUGGGUCAGUGCUGUUGCAGAACCAAGCGGUCCUGGUUCUGAUACUUCUCAAUCAUUUGAAAGCACAGAGGAGUUUAAAAUGAUGGUUAGCACGGUGGGACAAGUACUGAAUACUGUGACCGUUUUUCUUCAGUCUAAUGGUGCAAAAAUCAGCAAGGCAUGGAAGCUCCUGGCCUGUGAUUGUUUUUGAUGCUGUGUGUAUCAUUUUGUCCAGACGUCCAGCUGAGAUUUUUCAGGGCCUGCAGCCUUUCUAAUAUUUUGCUUAGGCAGGAGGCUCCUAACCUCAUGUUGAACAAUUUAAAAUGGAGGCACAGCACGAUCUGAUAAAGAAGAAUAAGACAGACUUACAUGAUUACUUGUUACUGAAAUGAGAAAACAAUUAGUAGAUUAAAGAAUAAAAUCGUUACUUGCAGCCCUAAUAAAAAGACAUAAUCCACGAACAAAAUUAAAUUAUAUUGAUAAUGUUUUCUAAUUUACUGGACAUUUAAUUUCCUGUUGAAUUCGUGUCCAAAAAAGUGUGUGUGUGUGUUUAACAGCUAAUGACUACUGGUCAUUGAGUACUAAUGGAAAGCCAAUCAGUUCCCAUGCAGUGAACCAUGACACCCCCCCCACACACACACACACACCCCUCCCCCAACAAGACAAUACUGACCACCUGUGUGUGUGUGUGUGUCCAGAAUAAUAUUGACGGGCAGUAAUAUGAGAGGUCAGGACACAAUAGCACUGUGACUCUGAAGACCUAACACCAUGCUGUGAGAGGUCACAGCUAUGUGUCACACAGAAACACGCACACACACACACACGCACGCACGC